UUCUGGAGGUUCUGGUGGGUCUCAGUCGGUCUGGUUCUGGUGGGUCUCAGUUGGUCUGGUUCUGGUGGGUCUCAGUCGGUCUGGUUCUGGAGGUUCUGGUGGGUCUCAGUUGGUCUGGUUCUGGUGGGUCUCAGUCGGUCUGGUUCUGGUGGGUCU